rnacentral:rRNA from 1 species
AUUGAACGCUGGCGGAAUGCUUUACACAUGCAAGUCGAGCGGGUGUAGCAAUACAUCAGCGGCAGACGGGUGAGUAACGCGUGGGAACGUACCUUUUGGUUCGGAACAACACAGGGAAACUUGUGCUAAUACCGGAUAAGCCCUUACGGGGAAAGAUUUAUCGCCGAAAGAUCGGCCCGCGUCUGAUUAGCUAGUUGGUAGGGUAACGGCCUACCAAGGCGACGAUCAGUAGCUGGUCUGAGAGGAUGAUCAGCCACAUUGGGACUGAGACACGGCCCAAACUCCUACGGGAGGCAGCAGUGGGGAAUAUUGGACAAUGGGGGUAACCCUGAUCCAGCCAUGCCGCGUGAGUGAUGAAGGCCCUAGGGUUGUAAAGCUCUUUUGUGCGGGAAGAUAAUGACGGUACCGCAAGAAUAAGCCCCGGCUAACUUCGUGCCAGCCGCCGCGGUAACAC